AAGUCGUAACAAGGUUUCCGUAGGUGAACCUGCGGAAGGAUCAUUCAUAAUAAAAGUGUUUUAUGGCACUUUUAAAACAAUCCAUAUCCACCUUGUGUGCAAUGUUUUUUUUUAUCAAAUAACUCUAUUUUAAUUUAUUUUGUCUGAAAUAUAUUAUGAAUACUUAAUUCAAAAAUAUAACUUUCAACAACGGAUCUCUUGGCUCUC
rnacentral:misc_RNA from 1 species